CAGUCGCCGCGGUAAUACGAAGGGGGCUAGCGUUGUUCGGAAUUACUGGGCGUAAAGCGCACGUAGGCGGAUAUUUAAGUCAGGGGUGAAAUCCCAGAGCUCAACUCUGGAACUGCCUUUGAUACUGGGUAUCUUGAGUAUGGAAGAGGUGAGUGGAAUUCCGAGUGUAGAGGUGAAAUUCGUAGAUAUUCGGAGGAACACCAGUGGCGAAGGCGGCUCACUGGUCCAUUACUGACGCUGAGGUGCGAAAGCGUGGGGAGCAAACAGGAUUAGAUACCCGCGUAGUCCCUGUCUCUUAUAC
rnacentral:rRNA from 1 species